UACGUAGGGGGCAAGCGUUGUCCGGAAUCAUUGGGCGUAAAGCGCUCGCAGGUGGUUCGUCGCGUCGUGCGUGAAAGACCCCGGCUCAACUGGGGGAGGUCGUGCGAUACGGGCGGACUGGAGGCCAGUAGGGGGAUGCGGAAUUCCGGGUGUAGUGGUGGAAUGCGUAGAGAUCCGGAGGAACACCAGCGGCGAAGGCGGCAUCCUGGACUGGUCCUGACACUCAUGAGCGAAAGCGUGGGGAGCGAACCGG
rnacentral:rRNA from 1 species